CCUACGGGUGGCAGCAGUGAGGAAUAUUGGUCAAUGGACGAGAGUCUGAACCAGCCAAGCCGCGUGAAGGAUGACGGCCCUAUGGGUUGUAAACUUCUUUUAUAAAGGAAUAAAACGAGGCACGUGUGCCUUUUUGCAUGUACUUUAUGAAUAAGGAUCGGCUAACUCCGUGCCAGCAGCCGCGGUAAUACGGAGGAUCCGAGCGUUAUCCGGAUAUAUUGGGUUUAAAGGGUGCGCAGGGGGAAGGUCAAGUCAGCGGUAAAAUUGAGAGGCUCAACCUCUGCGAGCCAUUGAAACUGGUUGUCUUGAGUGAGUGAGAGGUAUGCGGAAUGCGAGGUGUAGCGGUGAAAUGCAUAGAUAUCACGCAGAACUCCGAUUGCGAAGGCAGCAUACCGGCGCGCAACUGACGCUCAUGCACGAAAGUGUGGGUAUCGAACAGGAUUAGAUACCCUUGUAGUC
rnacentral:rRNA from 1 species